rnacentral:rRNA from 1 species
UACAGAGGUCCCAAGCGUUGUUCGGAUUCACUGGGCGUAAAGGGUGCGUAGGUGGUCGGGUAAGUUUGAUGUGAAAUCUCCGGGCUUAACCCGGAAAUGGCAUUGAAUACUAUUCGGUUGGAGGGGUGGAGGGGGACUGGAAUUCUCGGUGUAGCAGUGAAAUGCGUAGAUAUCGAGAGGAACACCAGUGGCGAAGGCGAGUCACUGGACAACACCUGACACUGAGGCACGAAAGCGAGGGGAGCAAACAGG